rnacentral:rRNA from 1 species
CGAACGCUGGCGGCGUGCUUAACACAUGCAAGUCGAACGGUGAAGCGCCUUCCUUUUUGGUGGGUGUGGAUGAGUGGCGAACGGGUGAGUAACACGUGAGUAACCUGCCCCCUUCUUCUGGAUAACCGCAUGAAAGUGUGGCUAAUACGGGAUAUUCUGGGUCUGUCGCAUGAUGGGUCUGGGAAAGAUAUUGUUUCGGUGGGGGAUGGGCUCGCGGCCUAUCAGCUUGUUGGUGGGGUGAUGGCCUACCAAGGCGGUGACGGGUAGCCGGCCUGAGAGGGUGGACGGUCACACUGGGAAUGAGACACGGCCCAGACUCCUACGGGAGGCAGCAGUGAGGAAUAUUGCACAAUGGGCGCAAGCCUGAUGCAGCGACGCCGCGUGAGGGAUGGAGGCCUUCGGGUUGUGAACCUCUUUCGCCAGUGAAGCAGGCCUGCCUCGUUUGUGGGUGGGUUGACGGUAGCUGGAUAAGAAGCGCCGGCUAACUACGUG